GACGAACGCUGGCGGCGUGCUUAACACAUGCAAGUCGAACGGAAAGGCCCUGCUUUUGUGGGGUGCUCGAGUGGCGAACGGGUGAGUAACACGUGAGUAACCUGCCCUUGACUUUGGGAUAACUUCAGGAAACUGGGGCUAAUACCGGAUAGGAGCUCCUGCUGCAUGGUGGGGGUUGGAAAGUUUCGGCGGUUGGGGAUGGACUCGCGGCUUAUCAGCUUGUUGGUGGGGUAGUGGCUUACCAAGGCUUUGACGGGUAGCCGGCCUGAGAGGGUGACCGGCCACAUUGGGACUGAGAUCCGGCCCAGACUCCUACGGGAGGCAGCAGUGGGGAAUAUUGCACGAUGGGCGGAAGCGUGAUGCAGCAACGCCGCGUGCGGGAUGACGGCCUUCGGGUUGUAAACCGCUUUCGCCUGUGACGAAGCGUGAGUGACGGUAAUGGGUAAAGAAGCACCGGCUAACUACGUG
rnacentral:rRNA from 1 species